rnacentral:rRNA from 1 species
CACGUAGGAGCCUAGCGUUAUCCGAAUUUACUGGGCGUAAAGCGCGUGUAGGCGGUUCGGUAAGUUGGGUGUGAAAUCUCCUGGCUCAACUGGGAGAGGUCGCUCAAUACUGUCGAGCUUGAGGAUGGUAGAGGGAGGUGGAAUUCCGGGUGUAGUGGUGAAAUGCGUAGAUAUCCGGAGGAAUACCAGUGGCGAAGGCGGCCUCCUGGACCAUUUCUGACGCUCAGACGCGAAAGCUAGGGGAGCGAACGGG